CGAAUGGGUCCAAAGACUCUUAAAACCUACCGCGCUCCCCUACGUGGAAAACAGGAAAGCCCUCCGGGGCAUAGGAAAUCUGAAAAGUUGAAGAACUGCGCCCCGGCGCAUGACUAAACAAAAAAAUUA
rnacentral:misc_RNA from 1 species